rnacentral:rRNA from 1 species
AACACGGAGCUUGCUCUGUGGGAUCAGUGGCGAACGGGUGAGUAACACGUGAGCAACCUGCCCCUGACUCUGGGAUAAGCGCUGGAAACGGCGUCUAAUACUGGAUAUGUGACGUGACCGCAUGGUCUGCGUUUGGAAAGAUUUUUCGGUUGGGGAUGGGCUCGCGGCCUAUCAGCUUGUUGGUGAGGUAAUGGCUCACCAAGGCGUCGACGGGUAGCCGGCCUGAGAGGGUGACCGGCCACACUGGGACUGAGACACGGCCCAGACUCCUACGGGAGGCAGCAGUGGGGAAUUUUGGACAAUGGGGGCAACCCUGAUCCAGCCAUACCGCGUGAGUGAAGAAGGCCUUCGGGUUGUAAAGCUCUUUCAGCCGGAAAGAAAUCGUGCAGGUUAAUAACCUGUAUGGAUGACGGUACCGGAAGAAGAAGCACCGGCUAACUACGUGCCAGCAGCCGCGGAAU